rnacentral:rRNA from 1 species
GACGAACGCUGGCGGCGUGCUUAACACAUGCAAGUCGAACGGAAAGGCCCUGCGUUUGUGGGGUGCUCGAGUGGCGAACGGGUGGGUAACACGUGAGUACCCUGGCCUUGAAUUUGGGAUAACUUCAGGAAACUGGGGCUAAUACCGGAUAGGAGCUCCUGCUGCAUGGUGGGGGUUGGAAAGUUUCGGCGGUUGGGGAUGGACUCGCGGCUUAUCAGCUUGUUGGUGGGGUAGUGGCUUACCAAGGCUUUGACGGGUAGCCGGCGCGUGAGGGUGACCGGGCACAGUGGGACUGAGAUACGGCCCAGACUCCUACGGGAGGCAGCAGUGGGGACGAAUGCACAAUGGGGGGAAGCCUGAUGCAGCAACGCCGCGUUCGGGAUGACGGACUUCGGUGUGUAAACAGCUGUCACAUGUGACGAAGCGUUAGUGACGGUAAUAGGUAAAAAAGCACCGGCUAACUACGUG